UCCAGACUCCUACGGGAGGCAGCAGUGGGGGAUAUUGCACAAUGGGGGGAACCCUGAUGCAGCGACGCCGCGUGAGUGAAGAAGUAUUUCGGUAUGUAAAGCUCUAUCAGCAGGGAAGAAAGAAAUGACGGUACCUGACUAAGAAGCCCCAGCUAACUACGUGCCAGCAGCCGCGGUAAUACGUAGGGGGCAAGCGUUAUCCGGAUUUACUGGGUGUAAAGGGAGCGUAGACGGCGAUGCAAGUCUGAAGUGAAAGGCGGGGGCCCAACCCCCGGACUGCUUUGGAAACUGUAUAGCUGGAGUGCAGGAGAGGUAAGUGGAAUUCCUAGUGUAGCGGUGAAAUGCGUAGAUAUUAGGAGGAACACCAGUGGCGAAGGCGGCCUGCUGGACCGCGACUGACGUUGAGGCUCGAAAGCGUGGGGAGCGAACAGGAUUAGAUACCCCAGUAGUU
rnacentral:rRNA from 1 species